rnacentral:tRNA from 1 species
GACCUUACCCAUUCAUACACCGAAAAAUAAUAUAGGUGAUGAUUGUGGUCAUCCCAAGGUCGUGCGUAGACUUGGUAAUAUUUUAAGCUUUCAAACAAUUAUAGGUUCGGUAAUUAAUUAGUUAAUUAUUUAUUUGAUAAAUAAGUUAAUUAGUUAAUUGAUUAUCACUUAUGGGCUAUUAGCUCAGGUGGUUAGAGCGCACCCCUGAUAAGGGUGAGGUCCCUGGUUCGAGUCCAGGAUGGCCCACCUGAAACAGUGAACAGUACCAUGACAGUGUUCAAGAAAUUGGUAGCUGAUGACUGAAAACUGUAGAUGGGGGUAUAGCUCAGUUGGUAGAGCGCUGCCUUUGCAAGGCAGAUGUCAGCGGUUCGAGUCCGCUUACCUCCACCAAAUUUAUAUAAACGGGAAAUAUUUCAGCACCCAGACUUGAAUAUAAAAGUCGGAAUGCUGGAUGAUUAUCCAGUCAGAACCUUGAAAACUGCAUAUUCACGCGAAACGAUUUAGGUAGUGCUUAAUUACCAUUGGUAAUUGAAUAUUGUAUCUAGAUAUCCUAUUUUGUUGUUUUAAUGAUUGUAUGGAAAAUCAAUGU